rnacentral:rRNA from 1 species
AACGCUAGCUACAGGCUUAACACAUGCAAGUCGAGGGGCAGCAUGGUCUUAGCUUGCUAAGGCCGAUGGCGACCGGCGCACGGGUGAGUAACACGUAUCCAACCUGCCGUCUACUCUUGGACAGCCUUCUGAAAGGAAGAUUAAUACAAGAUGGCAUCAUGAGUCCGCAUGUUCACAUGAUUAAAGGUAUUCCGGUAGACGAUGGGGAUGCGUUCCAUUAGAUUGUAGGCGGGGUAACGGCCCACCUAGUCUUCGAUGGAUAGGGGUUCUGAGAGGAAGGUCCCCCACAUUGGAACUGAGACACGGUCCAAACUCCUACGGGAGGCAGCAGUGAGGAAUAUUGGUCAAUGGGCGAGAGCCUGAACCAGCCAAGUAGCGUGAAGGAUGACUGCCCUAUGGGUUGUAAACUUCUUUUAUAAAGGAAUAAAGUCGGGUAUGGAUACCCGUUUGCAUGUACUUUAUGAAUAAGGAUCGGCUAACUCCGUGCCAGCAGCCGCGGUAAUACGGAGGAUCCGAGCGUUAUCCGGAUUUAUUGGGUUUAAAGGGAGCGUAGAUGGAUGUUUAAGUCAGUUGUGAAAGUUUGCGGCUCAACCGUAAAAUUGCAGUUGAUACUGGAUAUCUUGAGUGCAGUUGAGGCAGGCGGAAUUCGUGGUGUAGCGGUGAAAUGCUUAGAUAUCACGAAGAACUCCGAUUG